CCAGUAUUAAGUAACACCAGAGGCAUACCAGCGUACGUUCAGAGAACUAUUAAGGAAUGAAAGAGACUCAUUUACAGAAUUGUCCUGCAGAGCGGUAUGCGCACCUGGCUCUGACGACCCCGAUAGGUUACUCCUCCCGGAUCUCUUAGGAGAAGAGAACCCAGAGGGGUCCAUAGAACAAGUACAAUUAGGUGAAAAGUUAAGCCUGAACAAAGACAC